AUACUUGAGCAGCACAUAUAGUAAAAUUGGAACAAUACAGAGAAGAUUAGCAUGACCCUUGCACAGGAUGACACACAAAUUCAUGAAGCACUCCCUACUUCU